rnacentral:rRNA from 1 species
ACACGCAUGAAAGUCAAGCUGAAAGACUUUACUCAAUGAUGUAAGUGGUGGUGCAUGGUCGUUCUUAGUUCGUGGAUUGAUUUGUCUGGUCUAUUCCGAUAACGAGCGAGACCCCAACGUUCCUAAUAGGAGUGGCAGCCCGCUGGCCGAAAGGUUAGUAGCCGCCGCUUAGGAUUAGCUUCUUAGACGUAUCAGAAUCGAUAAGGUUCUUGAAAUGGGUCAAUAACAGGUCAGUCAUGCCCUUAGAUGUUCUGGGCCGCACGCGCGUUACAAUGGCAUGUAUAGAAAGUGCUUCAAAAGGCGUUUCCGGGGCCGAAAGGCUCUGGUAACCCUUAGUCCCUGCUUUGACUGGGACAGAUCUUUGCAAUUAUUGGUCUCUAACGAGGAAUUUUUAGUAAUCGUAGGUCAUUAACCUGCGAUGA